rnacentral:misc_RNA from 1 species
UUUGAGUCUUUUCACAAAUAAUUGGGAAAGGAAAUGAUGUUUUGAGUCAAAUUGAGAAUUUGUUACAAAGAAAUUGAUGCAACGACUGAAUGUAACUGGUAGAAGGUUGUUUUGGUAACUUGAGAAGGCAAGCAACCUCUUGAAAUCCUGCAUCCUGCUUUACAUAGGAAGAAUUCUCACUUAAACUACUACUCAUCUGCUUCAUCUCCUUGUUGUGAAGCUUUGGUUUUGAUAGAGCCCAUUGCAUUGCCCAAAUCGCCAAUGGCCUCAUAUAGCACAGUGAUCUAUAGUGAUCAUAUGUGUUCCACCCUUCCGGUGUUUGGAAACCAAACCCAAGACCUUUAUCUGACCAAGCUGUCGAGUGUAUUCCACUUGCAGUUUGAAAUGCUAUGUCCACCAAGCCCUCUUGUAUCAUAUUAGCAGCAAGAGAAUACGUAACUCCUGUCCAUAUUUCUCUUGACUGCAGAGCUGACAUAUCAGGUUUUCCACUUGGUAGUAUCCCAUUUACAGCCCCACACAUCCCUCCCUUGUGCUUUAACACAUUGAAAUCGUAGAUUUUCUUCAGAGCAGUUCUUAUCUUCUCUUCAUCAGCAAUUGGUGAAAGACCACUCGCUCUAGCAUACCAUUGACCAGCCAACUGAUCAGCAUGAAUUGAAG